UACGGAAGGCAGCAGUGGGGAAUAUUGCACAAUGGGCGCAAGCCUGAUGCAGCCAUGCCGCGUGUAUGAAGAAGGCCUUCGGGUUGUAAAGUACUUUCAGCGGGGAGGAAGGCGGUGGAGUUAAUAGCUUCACCGAUUGACGUUACCCGCAGAAGAAGCACCGGCUAACUCCGUGCCAGCAGCCGCGGUAAUACGGAGGGUGCAAGCGUUAAUCGGAAUUACUGGGCGUAAAGCGCACGCAGGCGGUCUGUCAAGUCGGAUGUGAAAUCCCCGGGCUUAACCUGGGAACUGCAUUCGAAACUGGCAGGCUAGAGUCUUGUAGAGGGGGUAGAAUUCCAGGUGUAGCGGUGAAAUGCGUAGAGAUCUGGAGGAAUACCGGUGGCGAAGGCGGCCCCUGGACAAGGACUGACGCUCAGGUGCGAAAGCGUGGGGAGCGAAACAGGAUUAGAUACCCGU
rnacentral:rRNA from 1 species